CAGCACCUCAAGUGGUCAGGAUGAUUAUUGGGCCUAAAGCAUCCGUAGCCGGCGCUGUAAGUUUUCGGUUAAAUCUGUACGCUCAACGUACAGGCUGCCGGGAAUACUGCAGCGCUAGGGAGUGGGAGAGGUAGACGGUACUCGGUAGGAAGGGGUAAAAUCCUUUGAUCUAUUGAUGACCACCUGUGGCGAAGGCGGUCUACCAGAACACGUCCGACGGUGAGGGAUGAAAGCUGGGGGGCAAACCGGAUUAGAUACCCGAGUAGUCC
rnacentral:rRNA from 1 species